rnacentral:rRNA from 1 species
AAACCAACAGGGAUUGCCUCAGUAACGGCGAGUGAAGCGGCAAAAGCUCAAAUUUGAAAUCCUUCGGGAGUUGUAAUUUGUAGGUUGGGAGACCCCGCGGCUAGUGGCACCAAGUCCCUUGGAACAGGGCGCCUUAGAGGGUGAGAGCCCCGUAGGUACCACAAUACCGUCUUGUGUCUCCUCUCCAAAGAGUCGAGUUGUUUGGGAAUGCAGCUCAAAGUGGGUGGUAAAUUCCAUCUAAAGCUAAAUACCGGCGAGAGACCGAUAGCGAACAAGUACAGUGAUGGAAAGAUGAAAAGCACUUUGAAAAGAGAGUGAAACAGUACGUGAAAUUGUUGAAAGGGAAGGGCUUGCAAGCAGACACGGCCUUCGUGCCGGGCCAGCAUCGGUUGCUAGGGGUGGAUAAGGAACAAGGAAUGUAGCUCCUCGGAGUAUUAUAGCCUUGCGCGAUACACCCACUGGCGACCGAGGCCUGC